rnacentral:sRNA from 1 species
UUCCCUAAUGACGAACUAUUUUGACAAGCUAUGGAUCUUUGUCCAAAUGAAGCUUUUUUGUCAUAGUUACUCUGACAGGGA